rnacentral:rRNA from 1 species
UACGAAGGGGCUAGCGUUGUUCGGAAUUACUGGGCGUAAAGCGCACGUAGGCGGAUAUUUAAGUCAGGGGUGAAAUCCCAGAGCUCAACUCUGGAACUGCCUUUGAUACUGGGUAUCUUGAGUAUGGAAGAGGUAAGUGGAAUUGCGAGUGUAGAGGUGAAAUUCGUAGAUAUUCGCAGGAACACCAGUGGCGAAGGCGGACAUCCUGGACCGAUACUGACGCUGAGGAGCGAAAGCUAGGGAGCAAACAGG